rnacentral:misc_RNA from 1 species
AUUCUUAAGUUGGAUAAUAUAAAUAUCCUUGUAAAAAACCUUUUCACGAGUGCCAUCUAACUUCCUUUUUUUUCCUUCAUUUUCACACUCUGAGAUUGUCACCAAAGACCUUGGGAAACCCUAAUCUUGAAAAUUGGGUUAAAAUUUGACAGUUGCAGGAUCCUUACCAUGAUUUGAAGGAUGACAUUCCAAAUCAUCAAGACACUCUUGAAUUUCUAACUUCUUACAACAGCAGCUCUUCCUUUUCUUUUUGUUCUUGAAAGAAUAUUGUCAGAGCAAGAUUCUUACCUGCUAUUGUUGAGACUAGAUGGCCUAGAUCUUGAAGUUGCACUUCAAAUCGUUGAUUGCAGCGUUGAAAUUCAAUGAUCAUAUUCUCAAAACGUUGUUCUUGUGCAGAGAUUAUUUCUAGAAAUAGGGUUCUGAAUUACCAUCAAAUUCUUAUGGAUUCCAAGAAUUGGUAUCUUCUUCCACUUGUGUCCUAAAGGCUUGUAUUUUCAGAUGUAAAGAUGAUGUUUCAGGAAAAUUUUCAAAGAAUUCAAGGGUUUGGGUAAAAAUUUAGGUAAAAAAAAUUUGUGGUUUGUGAUGAAGAGGUCCAAGGAAAGUGCUCUGAUGCCACUUGAUGCCACUGAUUCAACCUGUAUCAGCAAGAAACCAGAGGAAAUAGAAGGAAGAAAAUAGAAGAAAGAGAGGCAGAAGCAAAGGAGAGAACACACAGAAUUCAAGAAAGGAAAUUGUUAAUAAGAUUCAUCAAUUGCACACUUACAACAUAAUACAUUCUCUUUAUAUAUUGAUGUUGGAAUCCCUUAAUUAGUGCA